UACGUAGGGGGCAAGCGUUGUCCGGAAUCAUUGGGCGUAAAGAGCGUGUAGGCGGCCCGGUAAGUCCGCUGUGAAAGUCCAGGGCUCAACCCUGGGAUGCCGGUGGAUACUGUCGGGCUCGAGUCCGGAAGAGGAGUGUGGAAUUCCUGGUGUAGCGGUGAAAUGCGCAGAUAUCGUAAGGAAGACCAGUGGCGAAGGCGGGUCUCUGGACAGUUCCUGACGCUGAGGCACGAAGGCCAGGGGAGCAAACGGG
rnacentral:rRNA from 1 species